CCACAAUUUUGGUGUAAGUAUAUGUAUAGAUUAGAAAGGAACUCAACGAAUUUAAGAAGAUAAAGGUAAACUUUAGUUUAAAUUCUCUUGUGGUUCAAGUUAAGGUAUACAUUUGCACCUCUUCUUCCAACAGAAUCAGGACCUGAACAUGGAUGAACUAGAGCAAGGAGACUGAAAAGCCUAGGAAUUCCUCAUGUCCUGCAAGGAAAGAGGAGGUCUCCUGACCAAAAAUACUGGCAAGCAUGGACGUGCACGCAUGCAGACUCCUAGUUCUUUCCCAUGGUAGCAAAAUCAAGCCAGCACAUUGGAGAAUGCUCGGCAGUUUUCUGACACAACAUUCCACUGUUCAAAGACUAACCAACAACCAAAUCAUAACAGCUAAAAAUUGUCUGACAACGAGUAGACAAGCUGUUUGAGCACUUGAAUAAGAUUGCCAUGUCCUGACAGCCAGACAUUUACUGAAUUGUUACGCUAUAAGUCAAAUACGGCUAUAAAUCUUAGGCUCAACUAUAUAUUGGACUCUGGUUCAGCCAAUUCCUUACAAGGAUUCACAAAAGCAGCACGUCGAAUGGAUUAUACACCUGAUGAACCUCAAGAUAAAACCAGGGAUUUUUGACAGUAUUGAUGCUGAUGAUAAUGAUGUCGGCAAUAUCGAGUGUGAUAUAUUGAUGAAAAGAUGCG
rnacentral:lncRNA from 1 species